rnacentral:tRNA from 1 species
UGGGGAUUGGUGUAAUGGUAGCACGGCUGACUCUGGAUCAGUCUGUCCAGGUUCGAAUCCUGGAUCCCCAGCCA